rnacentral:lncRNA from 1 species
UGGGCUCACAAUGGUCUAAAUAUAUUUCUCUUUCACCAAAAGUUUCAUAUCUGCACAUUCGUUGGUAAGUUUAAGUAAACGAUGACACCAAAAGCACUAGUCAGUGUCAGAAUAGGACUACUUUAACAUACCUCUAUAAAAUUCGAGGGAGUGAAUUGGUGGUCAGUGACACCUAUAUGUCACCUGUACAAAACAGUUUUAUUGUUAUUUGUAAUAAGUAUUGAAGGAAUAGAAAAAAUACCCAUUUUGACAUACUUCAAUGGCCAAGUAGGAAACAUUCAAGUUUUACUAUUUCUUCCUGAAAAUUCAUCUGCUUGUAGAACAUUUCGUCAUAAAACAC